UACGUAGGGGGCAAGCGUUGUCCGGAUUUAUUGGGCGUAAAGAGCGUGUAGGCGGCCAUACAGGUCCGUUGUGAAAACUGGAGGCUUAACCUCCAGACGUCGAUGGAAACCGUAUGGCUAGAGUCCGGAAGAGGAGAGUGGAAUUCCUGGUGUAGCGGUGAAAUGCGCAGAUAUCAGGAAGAACACCCGUGGCGAAGGCGGCUCUCUGGGACGGUACUGACGCUGAGACGCGAAGGCGUGGGGAGCGAACGGG
rnacentral:rRNA from 1 species